rnacentral:rRNA from 1 species
UACGAAGGGGGGCUAGCGUUUCUCGGAAUCACUGGGCGUAAAGCGCACGUAGGCGGAUUCGUAAGUCAGGGGUGAAAUCCCGGGGGCUCAACCUCGGAACUGCCUUUGAUACUGCGGGUCUGAGUCCGAUAGAGGUGGGUGGAAUUCCUAGUGUAGAGGUGAAAUUCGUAGAUAUUAGGAAGAACACCGGUGGCGAAGGCGGC